rnacentral:rRNA from 1 species
CCUACGGGGGGCAGCAGUAGGGAAUCUUUCACAAUGGGCGAAAGCCUGAUGGAGCAACGCCGCGUGCAGGAUGAAGGCCUUCGGGUUGUAAACUUCUUUUAUAAGCGAGAAAUAUGAAGGUAACUUAUGAAUAAGGAUCGGCUAACUACGUUCCAGCAGCCGCGGUCAUACGUAGGAUCCGAGCAUUAUCCGGAGUGACUGGGUGUAAAGAGUUUCGUAGGUGGCAUAAUAAGUAGCUAGUGAAAUCUGGUGGCUCAACCAUUCAGACUAUUAGCUAAACUGGUAAGCUCGAGACCGUUAGGGGUAAGUGGAAUUUCUAGUGUAGGAGUGAAAUGCGUAGAUAUUAGAAGGAACACCAAUAGCGUAGGCAGGUUACUGGGACGGUUCUGACACUAAGGCACGAAAGCGUAGGGAGCAAACGGGAUUAGAUACCCUUGUAGUC